rnacentral:rRNA from 1 species
UACGUAGGGUGCAGGCGUUAAUCGGAGUUACUGGGCGUAAAGCGUGCGCAGGCGGUUUGCUAAGAGAGAUGUGAAAGCCCCGGGCUUAACCUGGGAACUGCGUUUCUAACUGGCAAGCUUGAGUGUGGCAGAGGGGGGUGGAAUUCCACGUGUAGCAGUGAAAUGCGUAGAGAAUGUGGAGGAAUACCGGUGGCGAAGGCGGC